GACAGAGGUGCCAAGCGUUAGGCGGAAUCACUGGGCUUAAAGCGUGUGUAGGCGGGCGAUCAAGGACCUUGUGAAAUCCCACGGCUCAACCGUGGAACUGCUGGGUAUACUGGUUGUCUUGAGCCAGCUAGGGGCGAGCGGAACAGACGGUGGAGCGGUGAAAUGCGUAGAUAUCGUCUGGAACGCCGAAGGUGAAAACAGCUCGCUGGGGCUGCGCUGACGCUGAGACACGAAAGCCAGGGGAGCGAACGGG
rnacentral:rRNA from 1 species